GUGAGUCAUCGAAUCUUUGAACGCACCUUGCGCCUUUUGGUAUUCCGAAAGGCAUGCCUGUUUGAGUGUCAUGUAGACUCAACUCUCGAGAGGUUUCUUGCGAGUUGGAUUUGGGUGUUGCCAUUCGGCUCGCCUUAAAAGUGUUAGUGGUUUAAGCACUUGAUCGGACGUGAUAAGUUUCGUCCGGCCGUGUGUCGUCGACCGCUGCUAAACCGCCUUGCGGCGCUCUUUGACUCUGACCUCAAAUCAGGUAGGACUACCCGCUGAACUUAAGCAUAUCAAUAAGCGGAGGA
rnacentral:misc_RNA from 1 species